CUAAAAUAUCUUUACUUUCAAGUAAAUUUUACUUUUAGUGAGUAGUCAUUUUGUAGUAGUGUCGCGAACGGGUGUGUUUAACAAUAAACUAAACGCUGCGUAAAACUAAUAGUAGAUAAAAAACAAGAAAAAAAACAACACCUCAAGAAAGAGAAGAAAUAUUAUAAAAUUAGUGCAAAAAUUCUACAUAAAAUAUGUAAUAAAUUGAAUAAUUUGGGGUAAAUUAUUAAAAUUUAAUAAGUUUUGUUUGAAGUGAAGUGAUUUUUUUAAAGAAAUUUUAUUAAUUUAUAGGUUUAAAUUGAGAAAACAUAAAUUGUGUUGGCUUAAUUUUUACUGUGCAAAAAUCAAAUAAGAAAAAAUAAGAAUUGGUAGAAUAAAUAAAAUAAUCAAAAUAGUACAACAAAAUACUACGCCAAAAACAAGAACAACAACUGUUUCAAUUUAAACACCCCCCCAUUCUUUCGUACAUUUACUCUUAAUUUUUUGUUCGUAUUUUGCUGUGCAGUGUUUUAGUUGCGAAAAUAAGAGAGUAAUUUUUAAUAAGAAAUUUGUCUUCAAUUGUCAUCAUCAUCAGGUGUAUUUCCAUUGGACGAGUACAUAUUUGCUGUUAUCAAAUGAACCGUAGCACACAAAGUAUAUCUUUGGCAACCUCCAUUUGGCGUCAUCAUUAAAACACAACAUCUACGAUGUGGAGUUUAAGACAAAUAAUAAUAAAGAAGGCCAAACACACUACGAAAAUUAAGCAAACAACUGCUGCUGCUGCUGCUACUACAACAACUGACCAAACGAAGCUGCAACACAAAUAAGAAAUAAUAAGACUACGAAAAAAUAAACAGAAAUUUUAAUUUUACAAAGCUGAAAAAGAAAACAACAACAAAAUAACAAAUUACUACAGCAGCUACUGAAACGAAAAAAAAAACAACAAGAAUAACAACCAAACAGCUACUACGAAAUUCAAAUUUGAAAUCUUCCUCAGUUUUUAAAACGAAUACAACCCUGCUGCACUUAAAAACGCCAGCGAGAACAAAAAAUACUAAAAAAAAAUUCCUUGGAAAAUCUAAGUUUUCCUGCUAAAUAUUCUUUUUUCGAUAUUUAUUCCAAUAUUUUUUAUUACUCCAACAAGAAAUUUUUUAAAACGAAACGCCCACGAUCUUCUUAUAUUUAAAUUACUUUAAAAGCAUUUUGAUUGAACAACAAAAAACAAA